rnacentral:lncRNA from 1 species
CCCCUCCCCAUUUCCCCUCCGUCUUUACAUAAUUCCAAACCCUAGCCGCCCUCAUUCUCUACUCCCUCACCGGCCGCCGUCCACUGCAAAUCGUCCCAUAACGACGGCCUAUCACCAAACCACCCCAAAUUCACCCUCUACACUCUCCACAACCUCCUGAACAUCAAUACACCACCAACUUCCCCUAAAUCACCACCCAAAUCCAUUAAAUCGAGAUCUAAAAAUUGAAAUCCAAAACCCUGGGUCGCCUAAACAAUCGUAAAAUUACACCUCACACUCCUCACACGCCCUUAAACCUUAAUCCAUUGUCGAAUUCCCGGAAGUCCACCAUUAUUUUAUUAAUUUCGGAUUCGAGUUUGGAACCCUAGCUUUAUCUCUGUCUCUAAUUUGGGCAUGCAAGUCUAGUCGUUUGAACCCAAGAUCUACAUCAAUUGAUUUCUCUUGAUGAGAGAAAUCUAUUGAUGUUAGUCCUAGUUUAUUUACCUACAAAAUUUGACCCUAGUUUGCAAUCGUAUGGUAUUUGCGCUUCUUUCUACUAUUGUUCUUCUUUCUUUUUUUCUUUCUUCAUAAUUGUUAUUUUAUUUAUUUUGCAUGUUUUAGGAAUUUCAAUGUUCUAUUGUUAUGUGUAUGUUCGUGUUGCCUAUAUUAACAUGAAUUAGCAUGUUUACUUCUGAGUUUAUCAGUUUUCUUGCAUGAAACUUCCUGCCGAUUUCAUCACAAUUUGGUUCAUGUUAGGGUUUAGUUUAAUUUAGGCUUUUUCUUGGAUGAUUUAUAUGGUAUGACUCAAUUGCACUAUUUUAUUGCUUGUUUGUUAUUUUGAUUUGAUUUUGGAUAAUUACUGGCUUUGUUGAUGUAAGCCAUGGUUAUUAAACACUUGUAGGGGGUAACUGAACAAAAGAAAAAAAUUAAGGGGGUCAUUUAAAAGGUGGAAAAUAAGGGUUUCAAAUAGAGCAUCUAGAAGCUUCUAGAGUAUGGAUAGCUGGUUCUAUUUUGCAAAUAAAAACUGCUGAUACUAACUAUAAAUGGCUAGUUGUCCAUUUGCUGUUAGGAAAGAUGCUACUUUCCUGAAAAUUAGGACUGUGUUGAGGGAAUAAUUCCCUUAUCUUUAGGAGCACAUGGGAUGUUUCAUUCCUUAUAUAUAUAGGAACCCCUCCCCCCACUGAGGACACGGAAAAAUAUAACCUGAAACUCUUCUAAAAAAAUCCAGCUUCUAGCUUUCCUAUUUUCCUUCUCUUUACAAAAUUUGGAAGGAGUUUUCUUUGAAUUUCUGUGUUCUUGAGCUGAGAUAUGAGAUGAUACUGAAGCUGUGGUUAGUGAAUACUGUUGUUUUCUUGGCUGCUGAACUAUUAGUCUUAACUUGACAAUUUCGGAUCAAUUCUUAAGCAACUAGGUACACACUUCACCCUAUGCUUAAGUAUUUGUAAAUAUGAUUUAAAGAUAAACGUACGUUAUUUUGUCAAUGAUGUGUGCUUUAAUAAUGUCAUUCAUCCACAUAAUGCAACAACAUUUGAGUUUUCCUUGAAUAUGUAACUCCCUGUUCAUCCAGUGUUCUUAUGCCAUGAAAAUAUGUUUCUUGUGUGUGUUAAAUAAAGCAUUUGCCAUCUGUUUGUUUCAGUUUAUGUACACCAUCUUUUGUUUAUUCUUGUCCAAUAUUCUGGCAUCUGUUAGUUGAGCUUGUUUGGUAAUACAGUAGGUCGCGUCUGUAGCCUGUUGAUAUCCAAUUUUGUCUCUCCUUUCAUCCAAACUAUUUUUUUAAGCUUCUAAAAUAUCAAAUAAUGUCAGACUAGUUAUUUUCUCCUUUCAUCCAAACUAUUUCUUUAUAUUUUUAUUCUUAUUACUAUCUUAUAUCAUUUUAUUUUUUUAAGUAUAAUUUUUAUUGUCCUUUUUGCAAAAAAUACAACUUCCCUUUAUAUAAGAGAAAUAAUAAUAUUCCUUCAUCCUACACUUUAUAAAAAGUUUAGUCUAAAAAUAUUAUGAUAUUUUAUGCACUAUUUAUUAUGUAGUAUUUUAUAACUAUUUUUUUUAAGUUGCUAGAAAUUAUAAUUUUGCUAACGCUAUUAAAUAAUGAUAAUAUUGUCUUAUAAAGAACCCCAAGUAAUCAAAUAGAAGAAAAGAGUCCAAAUAGCCCAACAAUUUCAGCUUCUUUGGAGUAUCUAUUUUGGAAUUGGGAUUUUUACCUAUCUAUACCAUAUAACAAACCUUAUUACCUCCCAUGUUUAAGGUUUGUGUUUAUUAUAUUCAAGCAUAUUAAAUUUCAAUUUAUGUACCAUAAUUCAAAUUAAGGGUAUAAUUAUUGCUUCAUUUAUUCUAGAAAUUUAAGCAUACCAAAUUUCAAUUUAUAUACCAUAAUUCAAAUUAAGGAUAUAAUUAUUGCUUCAUUUAUUCGAGGCAUGAUUUUAGGAGCAUAUAUUCAUUUUCCCUUUUUUCCUCCUCUUCUCUUUUCUUAUGUUUCCUCCACCUUAAUAUACGGUAAUCACUAUUAAAUUCAUUAGGUGUAUAAGUUACCAAAUUAUGUUAAGGAAACAUAUGAAGUUUAAUCGUUAUUUAUUCCUUAGGAUAUCAAUUAUUCUUUAGUGUACAAAUGAGUUUAAAGAGUUCGUUCUAUUGAGUCACAUAAGAAAAGGAACACAAAUAUCUUCAGAUAUCUGAAGAAGAUUUUUUCAAAAAAAAAUUAUUCUUUUGCAAAAGCAGUUUUUUUACAAAAAAAAAUUAGAAAAUUAUUCCACAAUCUUUUAUACAAUAUAGCUAAAAUAUCAUACAACUUGAUAUAAUUUUUAUAUAAUAUUGUUCAACUUUCAUACAAUAGCUAAAUGAAUAAAAGACAUACUUGCAAAAAUUGUAGAUAAAUUUUAGAUAAAUUGUAGAUAAAUUCAAUUUCAGAUUGUAAAUAAAUUAUAGAUAUAUUGUAACAAUACAACUUUAUGCAAUACUUAAACUGAUUUAUAGUUUAUUUGUAGAAAUUGUGUAAUACAUUGAAUUUUAAUAUCCCAAUUCUAAUUUCAAUUGUAGCAUAAUUGGCAUUUUUGACAUAAUUGUAGAAGACUUUUAGAAGUUUUAGUCUUUCCAAUCUACAAUUUAUCUACAAUUCUACAAUUUAAAUACAAUUUUGAAAAUAUGUCUUCUUUUUCUUCGACGAUUUUAAUAUGAAAUUCAGUCAAAAUCAAGUCUAAUCUUCAACAAAACCCCUCAAAAUUUAGAUAUAAACUCCUAAGCAUAUUCCAAAUAAUUUACAACAACACCCAAUCCAAACAAAUAAUGAUUUUUGAAAAUUCAAUCUACAAUUUAUUUACAAUUCUACAAUUUAUCUACAAUUUAAAUACAAUUCUGAAAAUAUGUCUUCUUUUUCUUCGACGAUUUUAAUAUGAAAUUCAGUCAAAACCAUGUCUAAUCUUCACAAAAACUCCUCAAAAUUUAGAUACAAACUCCUAAACAUAUUCCAAAUAAUUUACAACUACAACCAAUCUAAACAAAUAAUGAUUUUUGAAAAUUCAAAUUUGAAUUCAAAGCUUUCAAGCUUUUUAGUGGCUAUCAAUAGUGGAAAAUACAUGGAUAAUGAGAGAAUCACGCUGCAAUGGAUUUGCUUCCGUUUUAAAUAUCAAAAUUAAUGGUGAUAGAAUCACCAUUAAAUCUGAUUCCUUCUAUUUUAGCGCGUUUUUAGGGUGGAAUUCAUCUAUUUUUGGUUUGGUACAGAUUUUGUAGACAAACUAUUGAUUAGGCGAAUAAAUACAAUAUUAUGAAUAUUUAUUAUAAGAAGGUUUGCUAUAUGAUAUAGAUAGGUAAAAAUCCCUUUGGAAUUUUAACCGCCCAAAUGUCUUGCAUUUUAGCCACUUAAAAUUAGCCCAUCAGAUACAGCCCAAUUAUUUUAGCUCAAGACAAUCUUAAUACAUCAGCUAGGUAAUCUUGUCUUCUUUCCCCAAGAAAUGCUGCUCCUAACCCCUUUCCCCCUUUCAAGCAAAGCUUCAGUAUCUUUAACCAUGGCAGAAGCUUUCAUUAAAAUUGGAAUCGGAUAUCAUGAGUUGAGGUUCUUUAUACUAGUAUUCAUGUUUUAUGUAUUUUUCUUAAUCAUGUGAAUAUCUGUCACAAAUUUUGAUAGCUUUUUAUGGUCUAGAAAUCAUAUUCUAAGCUUCUUUUUUAUUUCUGUAUGAGAAUAAUGACUUAAUGUAUUUCUUUAGCCCCCUAAAGAUCUAUAUUAAAAUUUGAUAAUUUGAUAUAUUCUAAAGACUACAUUUAAAUUUCCUUAAAGUCAGAAUUGUAAUUUAAGCAUAAACUUAUCAUCUCUGUGUCUUUACUUUACUUUGACUUUCUUCUCAUUUAGUAUUAUGUUUAUUGAGAAGUAAAUGCUCUUUAGUAUUUUAUCUGCCCUCCCUUUUUUAUUAUUUAUGUCUUUCUUUUAUUUUGCAUGACACAUGGGGUGUGUUCCUGAGUCUUGCUUUGAGACCUGACGACGCCGCGACUCUAUCCGGGCAUUUGAGGGCGUCUAUGACGUUCUUAUUCUCUUUUGUUAUUUGUUGUACCUAGUCUUUUAUUGUCAUUGAUUUAUGUGUGUUUGGUGUUAUCUCAAUUUUUGGAUUUAAUAAUCUAGGAUUUUUAUCUCAUUCUCAAUAUUAUCUCACAUGAUAUGACAGUUAGAAUAAGAAGUUCAAAAUCAGUAAUAACUUUCCGCCUAGUUGCCACUAGCGUGUCUAUUUUUCAAAGUUUUUUUCCUCCUAACACUCUUUCAAGUAAGUUCAACUUGUUAAAGUGAUACUUUUGAGAGCCCGUUGUCAAAUUUGUUUUCAAUAUUGUUAAGUUGGAGUUUUCUUCAUAAAUGGUGCUGCACCACUAACUAGUUUUUUUGAAAGACAAGAAAUAUUUCAAUCAAGCGUUGCAUUUCAGCUCACUUUUUAUGACUAAGUUACUUUAAGGAUAUACUCUUUUUUGCAGUUUUCAUAUUCCUAGAGUAUAAAAGUUAAAGUCCAAAUUAUUUAUUCGUUUGAGUUUGAAAUGUUGAAAGUAAUUUUCUUUCUCAAUUAUGAAUUUAUACAACUCUAAAGUGACUCAAUUCUCUUCGUGACAUUACCGUACAUGUAUUUUCUAAAUCAAUUAAUAAUUAUACUUAUAAUGCACACAUAUGUUGCUACUUAAUUUUUAAAAUCAAUUAACCUAAGUUUGGUCAGUUUACCAUUUUUAAUGGAUCUUAAAAGAUGCUUAACACCUUUCUUUUGAGAUAGUUAGAACCCUUACCUAGAAUUUCUAAGUGUAAGCAGAUCAUAAAAUUGAGUUAACUUUACUGCAUUAUUUAUAUUGGUGUCCUAAUUCACCGUUAAAAUAAUUAGGUGGUGACUCUCUUUAAUUAAUUAAAUCUUCAAAAUUUCCAAUAUGUUAUAUUCUAGUUUGACUCAUGUUAAAAUGGGGUAUAACAUAGCCAUGUUGUUUAUUAAUCUGACCUUUAACAUGGUUAGAUCCAUAGAUUUCAUAGCUGAAUCAAAAGUCUGAUUUUCAAUUGGCAUGGAAAAGCCGGCAUAUUUCUGGAAGAUCACAGCUGAAAAUUUCAAUUGUAGUCAUUAGUGUAGCUAUCUAGAUACUGUUGAUCAAGUUUUUCUAUUACUUCACAACUGAGUAUUAUUCAUGUUUUGUUUAACCAUGGGCUUGUAAUUGAUUAAUUCAUACUCUAUUGUUACUGUAAACAUGGUGGAUUUAGCUGUAUAAAGUAAUUGUAGAAGUAUGAUUUGAAAUAAAUCUGGC